rnacentral:rRNA from 1 species
UACGGGGGGGGCAGGCGUUGUCCGGAAUUACUGGGCGUAAAGGGCUCGUAGGUGGCCAACUAAGUCAGAUGUGAAAUCCCUCGGCUUAACCGGGGAACUGCGUCUGAUACUGGAUGGCUUGAGUUCGGGAGAGGGAUGCGGAAUUCCAGGUGUAGCGGUGAAAUGCGUAGAUAUCUGGAGGAACACCGGUGGCGAAGGCGGUUCUCUGGGCAUUACCUGACGCUGAGGAGCGAAAGUGUGGGGAGCGAACAGG